UCACUAACUCUUCACUUCAAUUCCCACACAUCUGAACCCUAAUUUCCUUCAUUUCUACACUCAUUCGCCGAUCAAUCUCCGGUCACUUUUUUCUACUAAAUCUGUUUUUCAAAUGGCUCGAUCUAGCAUUAUCAACGUAUUCUUCAUUGUAUUCAUCGUUGCUCUUUUCUCAGCUAUGACUGAAACUUCGGCUCAGGAAUUAGGAUUAGCUCCGGCCCCGGCACCUGACGCCGGUGCGGCUUUCUCCUUGCCGUCUUCCGGUGUGUUAGUUGGAACUUCUCUCAUUCUAUGCGUUGCUGCUAUCUUCAGGCAUUAGAAUUUUGAUUUAGUGGUGAUUGUAUGUGUUUUUCAGUUGUGAGAGUAGUGUUUAUUGAUUUUCUUAUGGAUUUAGGUAUUUUCCGUAUGUAUUGAGAUUGAUCUUUUGGCAGUAUAUAUUUCUGAUUAUAAAAUUUUGUUUUUGAGUAUAAAUAUUGGUUCUUUACUUCCAUUUGUUCUUUCAUUCUCUAUUGCAAGUGAUUAUUCUGUUAUCUAAGAAGGUGAUUAUACCUGAAAAGUACAUUUAUGUUGAUAUAAUCUGGAAAUUAACAACCCGGAAAAGCAAAAACUAAAGAAAAACAAGGCUUUGAGCUGUUUUUUGGGUAAUUUGAGCAAAACUCAGCUCCAGGGUGAAACAUGAAGGAUAAAACAAAGCUAAUUUUCAUGUAAUUGGUACACGCAGAACAGAGUAGAGAUGAAGUAUGUAAAGAAGGUAUCUAGAUUAGUCGAGCUUCAAAGUAGGUACUAAACGCCAAGUGGGAAACCCAAAGGAAGUUUCAUUGAACUUAUAAUUUGUCUUGCAGUUUAAAGGAAAUACUUUUUUAGAUCAACUUAUGUUCUUGAGGAAUAAGAAGAUUAGAAACUUUAAACAAUGUAUAUAAUAUAGUAACAUUAGAGACAAGUUCACAAACUAUGUGACAUAUUAAACAAUGUAAGUUGCAUUUUUUUUGUUGAUAUCCCUUUCUGAGGCACAAAAUGUAAUGCUUAUAGAGAUAAUGACUUGUAAGCAUUGAGAACUCAGCCUUUUAUCCUAUUUAUUGCCAUAUUCAUCUGAGCUUAAUCUUCUCACACUACCUGCCCCUGCACGAAUACACGAUCAUGUGUACAAAAUCUACCAAAUGGAAGGUUUUCUUGUUUCCAUGGCUGGCGUAUGGUCACAUCUCUCCAUUUCUCGAGCUAGCCAAAAAGCUCGUGGAUAGAGGUUUCUUGGUUGACCUAUGUUCUUCAUCUAUUAACCUAAGUUUCAUUAGAACAAGAAUACCAGAAACAUAUUGUUCUUCAAUUCAUCUAGUGGAACUCCAAUUACCAGACUUGCAAGAGCUUCCUCCUCACUAUCAUACAGCCAAUGGCCUCCCACUCCAUCUCCAUUCCACCCUUCAAAAAGCCCUCAAAAUGGCUAAACCAAAUCUGCUCAACAUCUUAGAAGCUCGAAAACCUGACUUGUUAAUCCAUGAUGUCAAGCAAUUAUGGGCUGCUGGGGUGGCUUCUACCCUUGACAUCCCGGCGGUUAGAUUCUUCACUUCUUGUGCAGCCAUGUGCUCCUAUUUCAGUCACUUGUUUGUGAAACCAAAUGUUGAAUUCCCCUUUCAAGCUCUUCGAUUACAUCCCUAUGAGCUAACAAAAGCUCAUAAAGUGGUUAAAGAACAUCGUGAAGAUGAUGAUCCUGAAGUGAGAGCUCCUGAAGAAUUUACAGGCAUGAUGCUAAUAGGCACGUCGAGAGAGAUGGAAGGUAAAUACAUCGACUAUAUGUCCGAAAUAAUCAAAUUUAAGGUCUUGCCAAUUGGUACACUAGUUCAAGAUCCUAUGACUAGUGUAGAUGGAAACAUGGAGAUCAUGCAAUGGUUAGGGAAAAAAGACAAGUUCUCAACUAUAUUAGUCUCUUUUGGUAGUGGCUACUUCUUGACAAACCAAGAAUUGGAAGAAGUAGCUUUUGGGUUAGAGCUUAGCCAAGUGAAUUUCAUAUGGGUAGUUAGGUUCCCAAAAGGGGAAAAUCUAAGUCUUGAAGAGGCAUUACCACAAGGUUUUUUUGAAAGAAUUGGUCAUAGAGGGAUGGUUAUGGGAGGAUGGGCUCCACAAGCAAAAAUACUAACUCAUUCGAGUAUCGGUGGAUUCGUGAGUCAUUGUGGAUGGAAUUCAAUUUCAGAAAGUAUAGAUUAUGGUAUUCCAAUUAUUGCUAUGCCUAUGGAUCUUGAUCAACCUAUGAAAUGCUAAAUUGCUAGUGGAAAUUGGAGUAGCUUUGGAGGUUUUGAGGGAUGAAAAUGGAGCACUUCAUAGAGAAGACAUAGCAAGAGUUAUCAAAGAUGUAAUAUGUGGAAAAUCAGGGGAGAAUUUGAGAUGUAAUGUGAGAAAUUUGGGUAAGAAGUUGAGAUUUAAAAAUGUGGAAGAUAUUGAUGCAGCUAUUAUGGAGCUAACACAACUUUGUCAUGAGAAGAAUCAUAGUUCUUGGAUUCGAGUCAUGGGUAUGGAGCCGCGCUUGGUAGAGCCCUCAAAAAUGGAACUUUCUAGCGCAAAUUCAGAUUAAUCAAGC